AAAUGACAAGGACAGAGCAAAACGCGACAAACGUCGUAAAACUGGUCAUGAAAUUGUUGGCGCCCAGGUAAGCGAUGUUUUUUUUUUAUGUUUGUGAUGUUUGCUGAAUAUUUUUCUAAUUUUGU
rnacentral:ribozyme from 13 species